GUUUGAAAGAGGGAAAUCCAACGAUAUUUUUUACUUUGUACAAUUUUUAUGAUGGUAAUGAAUGUUGAUGGUGAUGAUCAUGAUGAUGAUACUUAAUGGUUGAUCUUGAUGAUGGUAGUAGAGAGAAAACAGAGAUAAUGGAGAGAGAGAAGUUUUAUAUAUUAUUAUAUAUAAAUAUAUAAAUAUAAUUUAAAUAAAUCAGGAUAUAAAGACAUAAAUACUCUCAUGUGUAAGGCACAUGUUAUAUUUAACUAAAAAAUUUAACCUGGUUAGUGUUAAAGGACGUAUAGUGUAAUGAGUUUUACAAAUAAAGGACUGUGACUGUAAUUAUUGAUGUUAAAGGCUAUCAAUUGCACUCCGAUACAUACAUAAAGGACGAAAAGUGUAAUUUACCCAUGUUUUAGAGAAACAAUAUUGAAGCACAAAUGGAAAUAACACUAGCAAAAGGGUCAAGAUUUUCUUGAGGGGUGAUUAAGCAACCUCCGACAAAAAAAAUUACUUGCAGAGGAUCUUAGAUACGAAAAGAACAGAAGUAUGUUGAAAGCAGUCUCAAGGAAAGAAUCACACAGAUUGUCAUCCUGAUCUCAUUUGUGGAUAAAGACCAGAAGAAAGACAAGAAUUAAUGUGUCCAUUAUAUAAAUGCAGAUUUUCAUGAUAUGCAGCUUGUCUUACACGUAAUGAUUUUUAUUUUCAAAUCAAGAUAUUUUUUUAAAACUUUACCAGACGACAGUCUUUAUGUUGGUACUAAGUUCAUAAUUUAAUAGGGUCAAUAGGUCUGUCCUCAAGAAUCAAACGUUGAAGCAACGUUUAACAAUCUUUAUUUUUUGUGUCAGGUUUCAGGUCGAAUCAAGAAUUGCCGCCCCUUAACAGGGGGUGGAGUGGGUUUUAUAUAAAAUAUUUUGUUUUUUAAGAUGCCAAAA